rnacentral:rRNA from 1 species
CCUACGGGCGGCUGCAGUGGGGAAUAUUGGGCAAUGGGCGCAAGCCUGACCCAGCAACGCCGCGUGAAGGGAGAAGGCUUUCGGGUUGUAAACUUCUUUUGUCCGGGAAGAGUAGAAGACGGUACCUGACGAAUAAGCCACGGCUAACUACGUGCCAGCAGCCGCGGUAAGACGUAGGUGGCAAGCGUUGUCCGGAUUUACUGGGGGUAAAGGGCGUGUAGCCGGGUUGACAAGUCAGAUGUGAAAUCCUGCGGCUUAACCGCAGAACGGCAGUUGAAACUGUUGAUCUUGAGUACUGGAGAGGCAGAUGGAAUUCCUAGUGUAGCGGUGAAAUGCGUAGAUAUUAGGAGGAACACCAGUGGCGAAGGCGGUCUGCUGGACAGCAACUGACGGUGAGGCGCGAAAGCGUGGGGAGCAAACAGGAUUAGAUACCCGGGUAGUC